CCGGCACGGGUGAGUAACACGUAUCCAACCUGCCGUCUACCCUUGGCCAGCCUUCUGAAAGGAAGAUUAAUCCAGGAUGGCAUCAUGAGUUCACAUGUCCGCAUGAUUAAAGGUAUUUUCCGGUAGACGAUGGGGAUGCGUUCCAUUAGAUAGUAGGCGGGGUAACGGCCCACCUAGUCAACGAUGGAUAGGGGUUCUGAGAGGAAGGUCCCCCACAUUGGAACUGAGACACGGUCCAA
rnacentral:rRNA from 1 species